CUGGGAACCUGAAUCCAUUAAUUUGAAAUAGGCAUUCAAACUUUUCCAUUUGCAUUCAUGAACAUUGAUUAUUUCCUUUUAUUUUUCAGGUUAUGAAAACUAGUGGAAUUGUUGAAUCUUUGAAUAUUAGUGGAACCUGUGAAACUGGAAAAUCUGAUGUAGAGGAUGGAGUUGCACAUCUUCAUGAGGCUCAGGCUACAGAAGAACAGAAGAAAAUUCUCCAGCUCGAAAAUGAAGUCUCCUCACUGAAAGCAUAGCUCAAGGAGAAAGAAUCGAUGAUGGAGGUAAUCCUUAAUGAAGAUCAGAUAUCUGCUUUGAAACGCACGCCAAACCAAGAAUCCAAGACGCCAAUUGCCAAGACUCCCUUCCAGAUGGUGUAAUUGAACCAGUUUUUCCCGAAAGUUCAAAUCUGGACAGUGAGGAUUUGAACUUAUUGUUCAAUAUUGGGGGGAGCACUACGCUUGCAUUGCUGAAAAAUAUCAAAUGUGCGAACUGUGCUGCGUUCCUGAAUCUGGGGGAUACUGAAAAUAACUGGCGAACAUUUUAUGUUGACUAUCUCAGCAUGGGAAAUUUGAAGAUGCCAAAUGUUGAACUAUUCAAAUUGAUAAUCAAUUGUGAAGUUUUAUUUCGUAAAUUUGGAACACACAUACAGAAAAAUGGAUUGAAUUCUAUCAGUAAAAGAAUUUUGAAAGACAUUGCUGCAGUAAUACCCGAAUGCUGUGAUUUAAAAAGUAAAAUUGUGAAACAUUUCUUCACAGUAAGAUGCUAUGCAUUUGUCAACUUCGAUCAGAAUGCUAACAGGAAGUCGGAAAUGUAUGGAACUUCAUCCAAAAAGAUGAAGUACUAGUUAUAUACGACUAGCUUAUCCGGCGAACUUAAUUUCCUAUCCGGCGUGUUAAUUUCCACUUACCACCGCAGAAGCAGCAGCACUGUGAUCUCCACAGUAUACUGCUUUUGAUUUGUUUGUUUUUAUAGUUUGUAAUACAUAUUUCUAUAGUUGUUCUUGUUCAAUGAUAAUAUUAAAUGGUGACUUGAUGGUACAUUCCACGUACAAAGUUAAAGUGGACAUGGAAUGUGAGUUCUCGAGAAAUUUGAGGAAUACAUUGAGAAAUGGGUUGAGACCAAAAAUGUGGGGUAAUCAACCUCAUGAAGAAUCUGCUUUCUUAUUUCCCUUAAUGUUAUAGUCAAUUUAAGUUUAUUUUCUUUUUAUCUUAUUCACUCUAUUGUAAUAAUAUCGAAUAUCUUUUUUAUUUUGGAAAA